CAAACCUGUGCAGCCAUACCCAGUUCAUCUCUUUUUCAGCUACUUCCACAGAGAAAUGGGGACAAAGACACCUCAGUGAUAAAGCACUCUACUGUUCCUGGAGUGUACCUGGAGCACCGAGGGCAAGGCACCCUUACUGCAAAGCAGAUGAGAUUGCAGUAUCUGUCCCUGAGAACACGGCUGCCUGCCUGCUUCUGGAGCGCUGCGGGUCAUGCUGAUGACUGCACCCGCAGGGACGGCAAGUGCUCGUUCUGUCUUGUGGUCUGACUAUGUACCCAGGAUAGAUGGCCUGAUUGUAAAGUGUCACGCCAAAAAGAUGAUCCUUUGGACAUCAGCUGAGACAAACAGGUACUUCUUCAUGU